UUGGGGUUGCGGACAUAUCAUAACGAAGAGGUAUCGUAAUUGAAGAGGUUUGGAAAGACCCACCACAGAAGGUAAUAGUCCUGUAUGUUAAACGAGAAGACUUUAGAUAUGAUCCAGAGUACCACGGGACACGUGAAACCCUGUGGGAAGCAGGAGGGACCACCCUCCAAGGCUAAAUACUACCUAGUGACCGAUAGCGUAUAGUACCGUGAGGGAAAGGUGAAAAGAACCCCGGGAGGGGAGGGAAAUAGAACCUGAAACCCUGCACUUACAAGCUGUGGAAGCACAUUUCUUGUGUGACCGCGUACUUUUUGUAGAACGGGCCAACGAGUUACGUUAAGUAGCAAGGUUAAGCACUUAAGGUGCGGAGC
rnacentral:rRNA from 1 species